rnacentral:tRNA from 1 species
GGUUGUGGCUCAGCGGUAGAGCGCUCUCUUAGCAAGGGCGGGACCCGGGUUUGAUUCUCAGCACCA